CCUACGGGAGGCAGCAGUGGGGAAUAUUGGGCAAUGAAGGCAACUCUGACCCAGCAACGCCGCGUGAAUGAUGAAGGUCUUCGGAUUGUAAAGUUCUGUGAUGGGGGAUGAACACAAUGACGGUACCCCAAUAGCAAGCCACGGCUAACUACGUGCCAGCAGCCGCGGUAAUACGGAGGUGGCAAGCGUUAUCCGGAAUGACUGGGCGUAAAGGGUGCGUAGGUGGUUUAGUAAGUUGGCGGUGUAAUUCCGGGGCUCAACCUCGGCGCUACCGCCAAAACUAUUAGACUAGAGUGCAGGAGGGGUAAGUGGAAUUCCUAGUGUAGCGGUGGAAUGCGUAGAUAUUAGGAGGAACAUCAGGGGCGAAGGCGACUUACUGGACUGUAACUGACACUGAGGCACGAAAGCGUGGGGAGCAAACAGGAUUAGAUACCCGAGUAGUC
rnacentral:rRNA from 1 species